CAUGACGUAAUUUCUAGAGUUAAGGCAUUCCUAAAAUAGUGAAAAUAAGUAUGGUAACAGUAACAGUUGGUAUGUUAAAAAUUCGUUAUUUUGUAUUAGAAUACGAUAAACGAUACUAGUUUAAUGUGAUAGUAUCAAUUAUCUGUUUUUCUAUUGAAGUCAGUUUACGUAAAUAUACGAUAUUGCUGAAAUACAUUAGGAACAAACGAAAUGUGAGUAACGCUAGCACUGUAGACUGUAGUGUAGCACUUGCACGUUGCAUACUACUACUACUACUUAGAAGUAGCACCAAUCAGUUGAAACACAGCUAGAUCCUGCUCUUGGUUAUACAAUAAAACUAAAAGUAAAACGAACCCCAAUUUGUAUUUACCUUCUGCAACUUCGAAAUUGAAGGAAGUUAGCUAACAGUUAGUCUCCUACGAUACUGUUUUUAAAAAUCCCUUGAAAUCGAUAUUUCUUGAAGAAGAGGAAUGAAAUCAAAGAAGAGUGAUAGUAAUGCUUUGCCAGCUUACAAAAGGCAUUCACAUCAUAACAGUGAUGAAGUAGGACAUCUCCAUUCUCAAGG